rnacentral:rRNA from 1 species
CCUACGGGAGGCAGCAGUGGGGAAUUUUGGACAAUGGGCGCAAGCCUGAUCCAGCGAAUGCCGCGUGAGUGAAGAAGGCCUUCGGGUUGUAAAGCUCUUUUGUCAGGGAAGAAAAGGCUACGGAUAAUACCUGUGGCUCAUGACGGUACCUGAAGAAUAAGCACCGGCUAACUACGUGCCAGCAGCCGCGGUAAUACGUAGGGUGCAAGCGUUAAUCGGAAUUACUGGGCGUAAAGCGUGCGCAGGCGGUUUUGUAAGACUGUCGUGAAAUCCCCGGGCUCAACCUGGGAAUGGCGAUGGUGACUGCAAGGCUAGAGUUUGGCAGAGGGGGGUAGAAUUCCACGUGUAGCAGUGAAAUGCGUAGAUAUGUGGAGGAACACCGAUGGCGAAGGCAGCCCCCUGGGUCAAAACUGACGCUCAUGCACGAAAGCGUGGGGAGCAAACAGGAUUAGAUACCCUGGUAGUCCACGCCCUAAACGAUGUCUACUAGUUGUCGGGUCUUAAUUGACUUGGUAACGCAGCUAACGCGUGAAGUAGACCGCCUGGGGAGUACGGUCGCAAGNUUAAAACUUAAAUGAAAUUGACGG